GCUGCGCACAAAAAUCUAUCAGAGAAGACGAGGACUGAACAGCUUAGUUGUUACCAACAACAGAACACAAUGAGUUAUCUUGAGGGAUAUAAAUGUGCAUGCUUUUAACCUAAAAGGAAGCCUACAAUUUGCCCGAGGCUAUGGCGUAGCAUUUCUUAUCCAAUGAUUUUUUUGAUAAUUAUUCAGCUAUGAUUGGUAUACUUCCGUCCACCAUUUUGAAAGCAGCGCCAUUAGUUUCGUAGUGGCUAGCAACACUGCAAGGCAAGAUAGUAGCCUUAUGACUAUCCGUUAUAAAUAUUAAAAUAGAUGAACAGUAUAAGAUCAGUCACUGAAUUGUAAUCGUUUCCUCGGGAUACACGCAAAAUAGUUUCAGUACGUAUAGUUAACUGUCCAGUAGUUACAGCUCAGGGUGCUAGCUAGCUAGCAUUAUCUCAGUAAACCUUAACGUUAGCUUGCACUCGACUACAGCAACAUUAACCAGCUGGCAUCAAGAAUGUCUGAGGAACAGUUUUUAACCGAGGAUUCCUCGAUGAAUAUGGAAGAAGACAGCGAAGCGAACAAUGACGAUCAAGUGUUAACAGGUGGAGAACCACAGGGUAGUUCUGCAGAAUCAGAAGGAUCAAAGAUUGAUGCCAGCAAAAACGAGGAAGAUGAAGGGAAGAUGUUUGUCGGUGGACUAAGUUGGGACACCACCAAGAAAGAUUUGAAAGACUACUUCAGCAAGUUUGGGGAGGUCGUUGAUUGCACUUUGAAGCUGGAUCCCAUGACAGGCCGGUCCAGGGGGUUUGGCUUUGUAUUAUUUAAAGAAGCUGAGGGUGUUGAAAAGGUAAUUACUCAAAAGGAGCACAAAUUAAAUGGAAAAGUGAUCGACCCCAAAAAGGCAAAGGCUAUGAAAAGCAAAGAGCCUGUAAAGAAGAUAUUUGUUGGCGGACUAUCACCAGACACUCCUGAGGAGAAGAUAAAGGAAUACUUUGAUGGAUUUGGUGAGGUGGAAUCUAUUGAAUUGCCAAUGGAAAAUAAGACAAACAAAAGGAGAGGCUUCUGUUUUGUUACUUUCAAAGAAGAAGAACCAGUGAAGAAAAUAAUGGAAAAGAAAUUCCAUAAUAUAGGUUUGAGUAAGUGUGAAAUAAAGGUAGCCAUGUCGAAAGAGCAGUACCAACAGCAGCAACAGUGGGGAGGCAGAGGAGGUUAUUCAGUCCGGUCUCGAGGAAGAGGCGGAGGCCCAAAUCAAAAUUGGAAUCAAGGAUAUGGCAAUUAUUGGAACCAGGGCUAUGGCAACUAUGGAAACUAUGGCUACAACAAUCAAGGCUAUGGAGGAUAUGGGGGCUACGAUUACUCUGGUUACAACAACUAUUAUGGAUAUGGUGACUACAGCAGUAUGUAAUACCAUUUGCAGAAGCGUAUACAGACCCAUCAACAGGGUGGCUAUGGUAAAUCUCCUAGGCGUGGAGGUCACCAGAACAGCUACAAGCCAUACUAAAUGCAUGAACGCUACAGAGUGUGCAGAGCGGGGACUUCCUUGCAGGCCAUGAGCUGACUUCCCGAUUCUCUCAGGCCCGCUCAAUGCGGACAGGGUACGAGAGGCGUACGCUCUCGAAUGCUUCCCAUUUGGUAUGGUCUUCCAACAUCCUGUAUACCAAUAGUGAACAAAACAAAACAAACAUAAUAAAGCGGAUACGUCCAGCUUUAUCCUCUUUCAUUUCUUAUUUUUUUCCUCUUUCAAUUUUUUUAAUCCAUUUUGAUUUGAUACAAUACAUUUAUGUAAUUUUAAUGCCAUUUUUUACAGGCACUUCAAGUAAUCGUUAAAUACGACAUCAUACUGAAAGAAUAACUACUUACUUUUCAAAGGAUACGGCUUUCUCUGGACUUUUCAAUGUCAUUCUGUAAUAUUAUUGCAUUCCUAAUCUUACCUGUAAUGCUUGCCUUUCCUUAUUUAUAGCUCUGGUAGCUGUAAUAGCCAGUAGUCCAUGAGCUAAAACCUGGUAUAUACUUGGAUGCCGCUGUGUCGACGAAGUGCUUUAUUUUUUCUUAUCUGUACUGUGUGGUGUUGUACUGACAGCGGUGGAAAAGCUUCUCUUUAAACAAUUUCAUCUAACAAAAUUCUCUUUUUUUAACCUUUUGAUAAAUCCAAAGUACCAAAUGUUGACAGAAAAUUUGCAUGUAAUGAUGUUUUUAAUGUGUAUUUUUUGACCAAUUGAAGGCUUGCCUUUCUUGUAUUUGGGCUUUGUCUUACUUCUACGAUUUGUUGCACCUCAGGAUUUAUAGCUUAUGGACUUACUUGUUGUUCCAUAUUCCAUGUAAUUGUUAACUGUAAAGUAUUGUACAUUGAUAUUUCUUUAUUUUUUCUCCAUAAUGGAAUCGUAAACAAUGGAAUUCCUUUGACAUAAUUUGAGGGACUGGCUGCUUUGCUCUCAGAGGAAUAUCUAACAUUUUGGCUUUGUCUUUUCCAGGUCCAGUACAAGGUACGGCAGGAGAGCAAAAGGAGAUGAAGUGAGACAAUGUGUCCAGAGUUGUGUAAUCAUGGACUAAUGAAAAAUGGCAGGAAAAGUUGUUAGAAACACCAACAUUCAACUCUUAAGCAGUUUAUCUUGUGAUCUAGAAGUUACAAACCAUGUUUUUUUGUUACAUUUUGUUGCGAUAACAUCGCAGACUAUCUUACCUUUAACAUUAACCUCUUGAUGUCUCCAAAUCUUAAGUAGAUCAUGUACUAAAAUAUUGUGUUUGUAAUUUUGCUCUCAAUCAUGAUGAAUACAUUCUGUUUUUUAUUAUUUGUGGCAAGCCGUUUUUUAUUUAUCCAAAGCUUUUAGUGCAGUUAAACUCUUUCCAUUUCAGAUGUUUGUCACAAGUAGAAGCAAAUCAUGGGAUAAUGUACAUCUUGAAACAAAAGACAAUAAACUUCAGUUAUUACUCAA